rnacentral:rRNA from 1 species
CGGCCGCAGUACCCUGACUGUGCUAAGGUAGCAUAAUAAAUUGAUUUUUAAUUGAAGUCUAGAAUGAAAGGAAAAACGGAGAUAAUCUGUCUUACAGUAAAGUCCUUGAAAUUACUUAAAAGGUGAAAAUUCCUUUAAUGAGAAAAUAGACGAGAAGACCCUAAGAAUUUUAAGAAAUAAAUUAGUAAAUAAAUUUUAACUUUUUACUGGGGCGGUAAAGGAUAAAAUGUUCAUCCUAAAAUUUUAUUUAUCAAGUUUUACUAGUAUUAAAUAAAUUACCUUAGGGAUAACAGCAUAAUUUUAUUAAAAAGUUUGUGACCUCGAUGUUGGACUAGGAAAUUUAAGACUAGCUGUCAUAAAAAAUGGUUCUGUUCGAACCUUUUCUCCUAC